UGCGUAGGCGGUCCUAUAAGUCUGGUGUGAAAUCUCCCGGCUCAACUGGGAGGGUGCGCCGGAUACUGUGGGGCUCGAGUGUGGGAGAGGAAAGUGGAGUUCCUGGUGUAGCGGUGAAAUGCGUAGAUAUCAGGAGGAACACCGGUGGUGUAAACGGCUUUCUGGACCAUUACUGACGCUGAUGCACGAAAGCGUGGGUAGCAAACAGGAUUAGAUACCCUGGUAGUCCACGCCCUAAACGAUGCAUAUUUGGUGUGGGCCAUUCAGUUGGUCCGUGCCGGAGCUAACGCGUUAAAUAUGCCGCCUGGGGAGUACAGUCGCAAGGCUGAA
rnacentral:rRNA from 1 species